rfam:Aneurinibacillus sp. XH2, complete genome.
UAAAUGAAUAUGCCGUUACCGUAGACAGAAGGUGCCUGUUCAGGCAGGCUUAAUAUCCUUCCGAGGUGCUGAUGAAGAUAUAGAUUUGAUAUCUGAAGCCUUCGCAUGUCUGCGUGGGCUUUUUUCAUUUUGAUA